rnacentral:rRNA from 1 species
UACGAAGGUUGCAAGCGUUACUCGGAAUUACUAGGCGUAAAGGGCAGGUAGGUGGUUUGGUAAGUCUAUUGUGAAAGCUCCCGGCUCAACUGGGAGAGGCCAAUGGAUACUGCCAAGCUUGAGUAUAGGAGAGGUUACUGGAAUUCCCGGUGUAGCGGUGAAAUGCGCAGAUAUCGGGAGGAACACCAAUGGCGAAAGCAGGUAACUGGGCUAUUACUGACACUCAACUGCGAAAGCUAGGGGAGCAAACAGG